GAUGAACGCUGGCGGCGUGCCUAAUACAUGCAAGUCGAGCGAACAGACGAGGCGCUUGCUGCUCUGACGUUUGCGGCGGACGGGUGAGUAACACGUGGAUAACCUACCUAUAAGCCUGGGAUAACUUCGGGAAACCGGAGCUAAUACCGGAUAAUAUAUUGAACCGCAUGGUUGAAUAGUGAAAGACGGUUUUGCUGUCACUUAUAGAUGGAUCCGCGCCGCAUUAGCUAGUUGGUAAGGUACAGGCUUACCAAGGCGACGAUGCGUAGCCGACCUGAGAGGGUGAUCGGCCACACUGGAACUGAGACACGGACCAUGCUCCUACGGUAGGCAGCAGUAGGGAAUCUUCCGCAAUAGGCGAAAGCCUGACGGAACAACGCCGCGUGAGUGAUGAAGAUCUUCGGAUCGUAAAACUCUGUUAUUAGGGAAGAACAAAUUUGUAAGUAACUAUGCACGUCUUGACGGUACCGAGUCAGAAAGCCACGGCUAACUACGUG
rnacentral:rRNA from 1 species